rnacentral:rRNA from 1 species
CCUACGGGAGGCAGCAGUGAGGAAUAUUGGUCAAUGGGCGCGAGCCUGAACCAGCCAAGUCGCGUGAAGGAUGACUGCCCUACGUGUUGUAAACUUCUUUUAUAAAGGAAUAAAGUGAGGCACGUGUGCCUUUUUGUAUGUACUUUAAGAAUAAGGAUCGGCUAACUCCGUGCCAGCAGCCGCGGUAAUACGGAGGAUCCGAGCGUUAUCCUGAUUUAUUGGGUUUAAAGGUGACGUAUGUGGGUUGUUAAAUCAGUUGUGAAAGUUUGCGGUGUAAACGUUAAAUUGCAAUUGAUACUGGCAGUCUUGAGUACAGUUGAGGUAGGCGGAAUUCGUGGUGUAGCGGUGAAAUGCUUAGAUAUCACGAAGAACUCCGAUUGCGAAGGCAGCUUACUAAACUGCCACUGACAUUGAUGCUCGAAAGUGUGGGUAUCAAACAGGAUUAGAUACCCCUGUAGUC